GGACUACUAGGGUAUCUAAUCCUGUUUGCUCCCCACGCUUUCGCGUCUCAGCGUCAGUUACCGUCCAGAGAGUCGCCUUCGCCACUGGUGUUCUACCCGAUAUCUACGAAUUUCACCUCUACACCGGGUGUUCCACUCUCCUCUCCGGCACUCAAGCUCGCUAGUUUCGGGCGCACUUCCUCGGUUAAGCCGAGGGCUUUCACACCCGACACAACAAGCCGCCUACACGCGCUUUACGCCCAAUAAUUCCGAACAACGCUUGCACCCUCUGUAUUACCGCGGCUGCUGGCAC
rnacentral:rRNA from 1 species